rnacentral:miRNA from 12 species
UCCCAUCUGGUGCUCCUGGGUUGGGACAGUGGCUGCACCCUCUGUGAAGGAAACGGAGGGUUCAGUAGCUGUGCCCGUGCCCAGCAGAGGGGA